rnacentral:rRNA from 1 species
UACGAAGGGGGCUAGCGUUGUUCGGAUUUAUUGGGCGUAAAGCGCACGUAGGCGGAUUGGUCAGUUAGGGGUGAAAUCCUGGAGCUCAACUCCAGAACUGCCUUUAAUACUGCCAGUCUCGAGUCCGGAAGAGGUAAGUGGAACUCCUAGUGUAGAGGUGGAAUUCGUAGAUAUUAGGAAGAACACCAGUGGCGAAGGCGGCUUACUGGUCCGGUACUGACGCUGAGGUGCGAAAGCGUGGGGAGCAAACAGG